GUCCCGCCUGUGCCCGGGGCGGGUUCCUGUGUGUGUGUGAGGCUUCUCCAGCCCAAGCUGGACUCAAGGGGAAGAAGCCCCCGAGGAGCAUCCUCGGCCCCUUCCCCUCUUCUGUGGCCACGCCACGGCGACUUUCGCUUCCCUGAAAGCCCCGGGGCCGGGGCGCUGCCAUGGGGCCGGGGUGCCCCUCGCUGUGUGCGGGUGCCCGGUGAGCCCCCAGCCCCUCCUUGGCUGUUCCCGGCCCCUUCCCGGGGGUGUCGCUCCCGCAGCCCCCGGCCCCUGGCAGGGCGCGUGAGUCAAGGCGCAUUUUCUGUUUAUAGUUUCCCGGGGAGGGCGGUAUUUUUACAGCGUGAGUCACCGCGCGUGUGGCUGCGAGCGGAAAACCAUCGGGCAGGGAGGGAGGUGGGGAAGGACGGAGGUGGGGAAGGACCCACCCAGCCCCUCCUGAGCCCGCCGGAGCCUCCCCACGGCUCCGCAGGGCACCGCCUCUGCCCCGGGGAGGAGCCGGCCGAAGCCUCCGCCCGCAGGGAAGGGAGCGGCCCCAGGAGCAGAACCCAGGCCCCCCCCGCCCCACGGAGCCCCCCAGAAAGUCGAGACAGGCGAUAACAAUUAAGCAGCGCUGACGUCAGAUCUCUGGAACUCUGACUCAACACCCUGCCCAAAACCUGCCGGGCUCCCGGCAUGCCCGAGGAUCACACUGCUGCCAGGCAAGGUUCAGCCUCAUGAGAAGAAGCCAGGGAGCAAGCAAAAUUUUACCUGCCCCUAAUGACAAGCUUGCCCUAACUUGAAGAAAUGGCUGUCCCCAAGCAGAUGAAAUUGUCACCAUUACCCAGCAGCCUGGUGAGAGUCACGACUCGAUGUCACACAGCCUCACCAAGAACAGCUUCUCCCCAAGCACCAGAGCGAGCUGUCCUACAACUCCAUCGCAGCAGUCGGAAAGAUGCUUUUCUUAAGCACUGUCCUACUUUGGCAAAGUAGGCGUGUGUUAAACCAGACCUAAAUCUAAAAUGUUACCAGAUUGGUUUGGGUUCUUUUCCCUGUUGUCUUGCCUUCGCCCCCUGUCACACUUCCAAAGUGGAAGUCACACCAUAACUGCUUCUCUGCUUGCUGAUCCCUUCCACUCUCCUCUGCUCAUGUUUUAACUCAGCGUGGCCAGGGGGGUUUUGGACUGUAGGUCGCACCCUUCCUCUCAUCCCAGACAAGACCAAAAAAAAAGGACGUGCAGGCUGUGGGCAGACACAAGUUCCCCACUGCCUUCUCCUUACCCUGUUUCAGUAUGAAUAUUUGUGCUAGUUCCCGUUUUCUAGGCUGGCAGGGCCAGUUCACAUCACAGGACAACAGCUGAGGGCACACGGGAUGGUUCUACCAUUACAUUUCAAAUUGCUCCCAGUGCCUCAAGGACCAGUGUCUGCAGAGAACUGUUUAUUGCUUGUGGCCCAGCUGCAUCUCAGAGGCUACUCAGGCGCUCCAGACACCAAUUAGGAUUUCUGCAUGUUCCUACACUUAACAGCAGCUUUCAUCCCACUCUGCAGCCUUUAUUACUUAAGGCGACUUUGAACCACCCAACACAAAGUCUUAAAACUGGGAGAUGUGGAAACCAAGAGCUCAUUUAUUUCAUUGGUCUCUGCAGCUUAACAGCUACAUGUGAUUGCACUGCAUUCAGGUUUGAUCAGUCCUUGGAGCCUGCAGACCUCCUACUCCAGUUUCAGUGUGGCCAUCAUGGGUUUCAGUUAGAAAAAAAGCAAAUUUCAGCUAUUUGGGUCAUUCUUGCACGUGAAAGGUUGAAGGGAGCCAAGAUGAGAAAACCAGUAAGAGCAGCAGAGCCCUGAGCUGCUCCAUUGAGUGUCUGGCAGCAGCAUUUCGUGUACCAGCCCUUAUCUGCAGCACUGCAGUCCCAGCACUUGGUCUAACGACUCCGGGUUUUUUUUCCAUACAGAACACCUGGGUGCCAUCGAUUUGUGUCCCUGACUUCUUCUGCAGCAUGAGAUAAGGCAAACACACGAGGGAGCAUCUGCCUGCCAUGGCUAUUGUGGACAGAGCAGCCCAGACACAUCCCAGUAACCAACUGGAAGGAAAAACCCCAGACUCCCAGUUUUGUGUAUGUUCAAGUGUUCUACAAACAAAUGUUGAAGGAGCUACAAACCAUUUCUGAGUUAGCAUUGCACAGUCCUGUCACAGAGAGCUGCUCCUCUAACCAGCAUGUGCUUUUUGAGCCAGGAAAGAAUUAUGCUCAAGUUCUCCUGUUUUCCUUAUUAACACCCUGAUUCCCAUUAGCCUUACUGACAGGCUAUUAAACAAGAUGAAAUCUGGCCGUAGGACAACUUGUUUCAGCGUCUUGCUGCCACUACCUGCCUCGCACUUAUUAAAAUCUCUUGGGGAAAAUGAUCGACCUCUGUUGGCCUAGUGCCUUGCAGCCACCAGAUGGAGAGAGCAGCGAGUCCAACCACAUCAGUCCCUAUUUCAGGGGAUUGUCACUCAGGGCUCAUCACACUGUCCCUGGCAGAUGGGAUACCAGCACCUUUGCCUGCUAACUACAAAGCAACAGAAGGGAUGCCAAGCUAUUCCUUCCCCAGGAUAUGGCAGGCUGGCAGCUUCAUCUGCCCACUGCUGUGCUCUGUGAGUGCCUCAGCAGCAGCCCAGGAUCACCACCGCCCUCCUCCAUCACCCAACAGCUUGGGGAGCUCUCCUGCCUGGGAUUAUCCACUCUGUUCCCUGCUGACAGGCCUGUUCUCCAAGCUCUCUGCUAAGCACGUGGAGGAGCAGUGCCACAGCAUGCCACUGCUGUGAGAGCUCAGAUGUACCCCUGGAGCUCACAACACGUUUCAGGAGCUCAGAGUUGAUCUGCUGAUCCUUUUGGAAGGGGAAUGACAAUUCGUGGUUGUUACAGGCUCCUCUGGGCUGCAUUAAGCUUUUCCAGGAGGGAGCUGAAGAGCUCUUCAAGAGAAACUGCAGCUCUUUCCUCAGAAGCAUUUCUGUACAAGUUUGAAGACUUAGGGUUUUCAAAUUUCUGUUUAAGCAUUAUUCCUCAGAAGAUUCCAUCUACUCAUAGGCUUUUGAGCUGAAGCAGCCAUCCACAGGAUGGCCACUGGACAUUUCUAGAGUCUUAAGACUUGGUUCAUGCAAAGGAAGAUGGUUAUUUUCUUUCCAAUUCAUGGUAAAACAAACCCAAGCUAGACAGAUUCCUGGGACUCUCUAGAUAAAAGUGACAAGUUUCAUGUGGGAAGGGUGUUUAGUGCUGCUGGGAGCAUUAGCUGCUUAAAGAUUUACCUCACAGCUUCCAAGGGUACUAAUCUGGCUCAGAUCUUAGUGCUUUCCUGCUCACCUCCAGCCCCACUGCCAGGCAGUAAGAAUCCUGCCACUAGAUCAUCAAAUCCUCCCCACAGCAUCAAGUGCCAGGGCUUGUCCUUAAUCAGGGGCUCAAAAAAUGUCUGUGCCCAUGGCCUAGCUGAGCCAAGUGGAGAGAAAAGACAUGAUGUGCCAUGAGCAGGCCACCCAAGGCUGAGAGCAGGUCCUGGUUGCUGGGAGAGGCUGUUCCCAGGUCUGCUGGAGCAGGAUGAACUGGGCAAUUCCUGUCUGCUGGCAUGGCUUCCCUUGGCACGGCACAGCACUGCUGCCAUGGCAGCUGCAGGCUGCUGAUCCAAAGGGUGAAAUGGGAGAAGCUGCAGCCAUGCAAAACUCCCUGCAGUGAGCAUGCACGUUUUUAGCUGCUCCAUGUCACUCUCCCAAACACUUUGGAAACACCUGGUUGUUGCACAUCAAGGUAAGAUUCAGGAAAUAUUAAAAAAAACACCUCACAAGAUUUUUUGCUCUAGGUCUCUUGGCCUGUAGAUCCAGCAGUUCCUUGGUGUCUCAAACAUGUUCUACCAGAUUAAGCAAGAGACUUCCCAGGUGAAUUCCUGCAUGCCAGCUCCACGAUAGGUUUAAUUUCUGCAUCAGUAGGUAAGGUGAUUAUCCCUCCAAAUGUACUUUACCCUCCCACUGAUUCGGGGAUUUCAGACUUGAUCUUACACACCUCUAGCAAAGGCAAUUUUAUUUAAUUUCUUAAAUAAACUUGCAGAACAGAAGAAAGUCAAGUUUUUGCUCUAGCAGCUUUCUGGAGCACUGCAACCAAUUUUAAAUUAAAAGGGGGGGUCACUUUACUAUCCCAGAUCCAACUGUUUACCUCCCCUCGCCUGGCUCCAGCCAUCUCCUCCCAGCCUCUUCUGAAGCCCAAGGGACUCCCACCACAGAUUUGAUCUCAGUUCAUCACAGGUGACAGAACCCCUCAGGUGCUGACAUCCUCUUGACACCACCAAAUGCAAGAAGCCAAGCUCCCAACUUGUAAGUAAUGAAAUAUUCAUCCCAUGUAACAAAGCCCAACAGCAUAAACAGGCAAAGCUCCAACGCCUGCCCCAGCUGGGUGUAAAUCAAAGGCUGUUAAUCUCCCCCAAGUUCUCAUUCACUGCUGAACACUAAGCAUUAGCCUUUUACAAGUAGAGAUCUCCUACAGCAAUUGUUGAGCGUGUCUGUUAGCACAUGGCACAGCAACAGCUUCUCCACCUACUAUUAAUAAACUUGAUGCUGCUGAGCACCACAACUGUCCAAACAACGCGUCCAUCAGCAGCCUCGUUAGCACUGAAGCUGAGACUUCUCGCUGGUGUUUUUCUAGAGCCUUGCUGAAACCAUCUUAGAGAGGAGUCAGAAGCACACUGACACGCCAAGUAGCUUUGCUUGGUACGUAAGCAAAGACACAUCCCAAGCCAGCCAACCCAUCUAGCGAGAUCAGAGGGAAUUUGCAAACAAUUAAGGAAUGGUUUGCACUUGGAAUCCCCGCAGACUUGCGCUCGUCCAAGCACAGCUGCCUCAAACACCCAUAGACGGACUCAAUUCCAACAUCUCCUUUAUAGAAGAAAAACAUUAAGUACUCUAAUCCCUAAUCUGGGGAUCACUUUAAAGGAAUCUCACGCCAUCAUCAGUGACAUGUUCUCUACUCUCCUACUGCAAUUAACUAAUACACUGCCCCUGGUCACUAGAUAACUAGCUUGGGGCCAAAAAUCAGGUUUGUUUGGUAUCUAAUUGAGCAUGUACUGGGUCACGUCUGAGAUGUGACUAAAUCUGGGUUAGCACAGAAAAACCUGAAACUGGGGGAAGUUUGCCCUUAAACAGGCAGACAAAGGCUUUUGUUUCGCCUGCUACACGAAGGCUUUGCUUUUGAGAGACAGUCUUGUCAGUGUUUCCUGCAGCCCAAGAACUGCUGCCUCAUCAUUUCAGCUCCAUUUUCCAGAAUUUACCAUUUCUGCGCUUUUCUAGACUAUACCAAAAUAACCAGCAGUGCAACUCAGAGCAUGAAACUCCUAGAUGAAGAUCAACCCUUACGAUUUACCAGCCCCAGCAGCUCCCAGGGCUCCAGCCCAUAGGAGGGACCAGAAGGAUGUAGCAGCUCAGCCUCACUGUCAUUGUGCACUCAGAAAAGAUGGACAAAGCCAUCUCACUGCUGAGCUCCUCCCCCAGGCAGGAUCCCCACCCAGAGUCAAGGGUGGGAAUCCCACAUCUUAACAUCUGGAUUCUGGAGAAAAGAGUCAGGCCUCUUACUUAAAAAAAGAAAUAAAUUUAAACAGCAGAAUGAAAGUAAAUUUGUCCCCAUUUUUGUUCAUUUCAGACUCGGAGGAAGGACUCUGCUCAUUAGAUCAAGCAGCCAGGGGCAAAACAUUCCCACAAAGCCAUUUCAUUUCCAUGGGGAGAGAAGAGUUCCCCCACCUUCAAUGACUGAAAGCUGCACUGACAGAAGCAGAGCCUGGCAGCCAGUAGCCAUGGCAGAACAUUUUAUCUCAAUGCCACCAGCAUAAAACCAACAACCACCAUUUAUCUGCACAGCUUCUUCAAGUCAAGCCAAAGGUUUCAGAGGCUGAAAGACAAAGCCACCCAAAAUCUAGCACAGUGACUAAUCCAUAGCUACUUCCUGUUGUUUAAGUUGGUUUCCAGGCUAUUGCUGCCCAGCAGUGACCAUCACUAGUCAAAUCAAGUCAAUACUUAUGUUUUCACUCAAUAUUUUCUUCCCAGACAAGGCAGUUGCCAUUUUUCUGCACUCUAACACUGGGGAGUAAGACUCCAGUUAGGUUAGUUACCUUUUCAGUCAGGAGCAGAAGUUGUUGAAGGCUUUCAGCUUUCUGGAAAGAAUGGACAAAGACUCAACCAGCGAAGGAAAGAAGGUCUAAGCUGGCUCCAAACCAGUUAGCACAAAAAUACUCCUCACACUAUCAGCUUUGGAAGAAUCAGUCAUGAGCUGCAGAGCACUGAAGCAUUGAAGAAUGCCUGGAAGCAUCGAGGGUGCAGCAGCUACCCAGAGACAACCUCAGCCCUGCAUCUCAGCUUUGCCACGGUGAGGUGGAAGAUGAUGCCUGGAUCCUAUCAAGGCUGUCAAUGGAGAAAUGCUUGGGCAGCCAGGCAAAUCCUGUUCCAGUGUGCUUUGUACUGCAGUUAUUCUAAUAUGCAUUCACUGGCAGCUCAGGAGUCUGAACAGGGCAGAAAGGCACAAGGGAGAGUCCUACAUGCCUCAGGCAUUGACCCAUCUGAGGAAAAGCUCCCUCAGGUCAGACUGG